UACAGAGGGGCAAGCGUUGUUCGGAAUUACUGGGCGUAAAGGGCGCGUAGGCGGCCUUCUAAGUCGAACGUGAAAUCCCCGGGCUCAACCCGGGAACUGCGUCCGAUACUGGAAGGCUUGAAUCCGGGAGAGGGAUGUGGAAUUCCAGGUGUAGCGGUGAAAUGGCGUAGAUAUCUGGAGGAACACCGGUGGCGAAGGCGACAUCCUGGACCGGUAUUGACGCGUGAGGCGCGGAAAGCCAGGGGAGC
rnacentral:rRNA from 1 species